rnacentral:rRNA from 1 species
AUGCUCCCUCGGGAUCACCGGGGAUGGAUGCAACUCCUCGCAAUGGACGUGGAUGCCGAUGCUUCCCCAGGACAACGGAUGCAUCUUGAGUUCGGGCACACCGCGACAACCGACAUUCAUGGUGGAGGCGGACGACAGCGGUCGCGCCCACACCGGCGGCCUCAUCGACGUGUUGCCAGUGGCGGCAGUCAAAGCAGCGCGAGGAGGCGUCACCUUAACGGGGAGCUUGGGAGGAGCACGGGUGACCACUGCUCUCGUGGGGAUCCAGAUUCAGAUCCCGCACACACACCAGUUGAUACAGCCACGCCUGGUCCUACUACCAUGCAUGCGGUUGGAUUAAUGGUGCAAAAGUGUGUUGUGUUCAACCAUGACUUAAGCCAAGCUUCGUUUGAGACCCACAAGGAGGAAAGGUUUAAAUUGCUUUUGUAUUUCUUGUUGAGAUCAACAAGCCCGCAACAUGAGGAGUUCCAUGCGUACGUGCUACGAGAAGAUAAGAAGAUGAGCUGGUUUGAAAGGAACAAAAUCGAUAUAUAUUUCUUGUUUUAUUUCUUACCAUGCAAGGAGUACAACACGAUGGUUAUGAGAACCUAUACGUGUGAUCUGCUUUCCUUGAAGGAAUCCGGUUGGGGCCCACCUGGCAAACUAGAUGUAAUGCACCAACUUUAUUAG